rnacentral:rRNA from 1 species
GGCAGCAUUGGUACUUGUACCAGAUGGCGACCGGCGCACGGGUGAGUAACGCGUAUGCAACCUACCUUUUACUGGGGGAUAGCCAGAAGAAAUUCUGAUUAAUACCCCAUAAUAUUAUAGACUGGCAUUGGUUUAUGAUUAAAGUUUCGGCGGUAAAAGAUGGGCAUGCGUUUUAUUAGUUAGUUGGUAAGGUAACGGCUUACCAAGACUACGAUAAAUAGGGGUCCUGAGAGGGAGAUCCCCCACACUGGAACUGAGACACGGUCCAGACUCCUACGGGAGGCAGCAAUGGGGAAUAUUGCGCAAUGGGCGAAAGCCUGACGCAGCCAUGCCGCGUGUGUGAAGAAGGCCUUAGGGUUGUAAAGCACUUUCAAUUGGGAAGAAAAGUUUGUCGUUAAUAGCGCCAAGCUCUGACAUUACCUUUAGAAGAAGCACCGGCUAACUCCGUGCCAGCAGCCGCGGUAAUACGGAGGGUGCGA